CUAGUUGCCGUGUUAAUCUUUCUUUCCGCGAUAUCCAACUUAUCUACGUGGGGGGUCAUUAGGCUCCAAGUAGAUCCGGAAAAUGUUGAUUCUCUCCUCUUCUUAUUGUGAUAUAAAAUGUUUUUUGUUUCAUUUCAUUUACAUUGGGAAAUAGAGAAACGAUCAUUGUGUUUUGUUAGUUUUAAAAACUUUUGAUAUAAUUGUAUUUUACAUUAUAAGCAGUCAACCGAUUGACAAACUAGAAUUAUUUGAAUUCCGUGUGUAAAGAGGUCGGGUUAAUUUCGAGUGUUAUCUGCAAUCUAGAUGUUUAUAAAUCAUUUCAGUCGUUGAUAUAAUAAUUAAAGGUCGACUGAACAUGAAUUAUAUUAUACAAUUUAAGGCGCAUUUCUGUUUAUGCACGUGAACCCAUCUAACGUUAUUGAUUGUUAUUUCGCAGUUAUAUAAAGUAGCAAAUUGUCGUUCCUGAAUAGGUGGCGCCGUGGUAGCCGAUCCUGUUCUUAAACUUCCGGUUUCUGCACUGCAACUAUACAGUUGCAUUUUUAAUUAACGAUGCCAAGUACUUGUUGUUGUGUACCUGGAUGUCAUUUAAGAGGAGGACAUGCAUUUCCAAAUGACUUAAAAAGAAGGAAAAGUUGGAUCAACACCAUGGCCCAUACGCAGAUUGGACGAGAACACGAUUUCUCAAUCAGCUGUUGUUUGCAAGGCACAUUUUACUGAAAAAGACUACGUGCAGGAAACUAUUCAUGAGCGCAAACCCUCCAUACAGAGACUUAAGUCUACUGCCAUUCCCAGCCUAUUUUCCUGGAUCAAGCAAGAGACUGAAUCGUCCGCAAAAAGAAAAAUCAGGGCAGUUUCCUGUGAAAACAAAAGAACUAAACUUGAUGAAUAUUGUAGUAGAAAUCUAGAGGAAAGUUUUAAUUGUAAAGUUGGUUUUCCUGAAGAAGUCAUUCAUACUGCAGCCAGGAUUUAUGACUGUCCACCACCAACUGCCGAGCUAAUGUUGAGCUUCACAGAUGGAAUUACGCAAACACCAUCAAUGCCUAUAUUUUCAGCAGAGAAUUUUGAAAUGAAGACAUGUGACACAGCCAUGCAUUUUUAUACCAGUUUAGAGUUGUAUACUAAAUUUUUAUUUGUUUUGACCACACUUGGUCCAGCAGCACAUUGUUUGAGAUACAUAUAUUUUCAAAUUGAUAGGGUGUCAUUUGAAAAUCAUUUUUUUUUAUGUCUAAACAGUGGCGUGAGGCUAACACUUGGCCGUUUAGUGGUUUAGUCAGGUAUUUUUCGCCAUCCAACUUCAAAUUAAAGUUUCCUACAACUUGGAUUAUUAUUGACAGCACAGAAUAUCCCGUGAUAAAACAUAAAGCUCCUAGAGCUCAGGCAACCUUUUCAUCAUAUAAAAACAGAAACACUGAAAAUACUUGUAUGUUCGACACCUGGUGGUUUAGUCAACUACAAAAAUGUAUGUCUCUAAUGCAUAUGUUGGUUGUACCAGUUACUGUGAAAUAGUUGAAAGAUGUAGAAUACAUGUGUAGUUCAAUUAUGUGAUCCAGGUGACAGUGUGAUGGCAGACAAAGGUUUAAAUGUGCAAGAUUUGUUUGCUCACUUUUUUCAAAAAAAGAAACAGAAUUAGUUCCAAAACUCUUAUACGGGAUAGAAAAGUCUCCAAUUAACACAUGCACAUAGAGCUAAUUAUUGGACUUGGCAAAACAUACAAAAUUCUAAUAAAUCCUAUGAAUGGAACUGAAACAAAAUUUUCAUCUGAAAUAACAUUUAGUUGUUUUAUGUUGUGUAAUUUUAGAACUUGUAUUGUGCCAAAGGAUGCAUAAAUAAAAGUGACGCAAUGAAG